rnacentral:miRNA from 1 species
UAAGUGAAUACUCUGUGUUGA